GCUGCGGCUCAGCUGAUAAUUGAAGGAACCCGGAGCCGCAGCCGCUGCCGCCGCUGGGGGGGUGGGGGGAGCUAGUGGAAGUUACUGCCGCGCCACCGAGUCCGGACCGGAGACUUUGGGGCCUAACUAGUGAAUGGUAGUGUCUAGAAAGGGUAUGUCCCUUCAAGAGAGAGGUGCCAAUGUCCAACCGGCCUAAUAACAAUCCAGGGGGGUCACUGCGACGUUCACAGAGGAACACUGCCGGGGCCCAACCACAAGACGACUCAAUAGGAGGAAGAAGCUGCAGUUCAUCAUCUGCUGUGAUAGUUCCACAACCAGAGGAUCCAGACAGAGCCAAUACUUCAGAAAGACAAAAAACGGGGCAGGUGCCUAAGAAAGACAAUUCUCGAGGAGUGAAGCGCAGUGCUAGUCCAGACUACAACAGGACCAAUUCUCCUAGCUCUGCAAAAAAACCAAAAGCACUUCAGCAUACUGAAUCUCCCUCAGAAACAAAUAAGCCACAUAGUAAGUCAAAGAAGAGACAUUUAGACCAGGAGCAACAACUGAAAUCUGCACAAUCACCAUCAACAAGCAAGGCUCAUACCAGAAAGAGUGGGGCCACUGGCGGUUCACGGAGUCAGAAAAGAAAAAGGACAGAGAGUUCUUGUGUAAAGAGUGGCUCCGGGUCUGAAUCAACUGGUGCAGAAGAGAGAUCUGCAAAACCUACCAAGCUGGCUUCAAAAUCAGCCACCUCAGCCAAAGCUGGGUGUAGCACCAUCACUGAUUCUUCUUCUGCUGCCUCUACUUCCUCCUCGUCUUCUGCUGUAGCCUCGGCCUCCUCCACUGUACCACCAGGUGCCAGAGUGAAACAAGGAAAAGAUCAGAACAAGGCCAGGCGUUCCCGUUCAGCAUCCAGUCCCAGCCCCAGAAGAAGCAGCAGGGAAAAGGAACAGAGUAAAACUGGUGGCUCUUCAAAAUUUGAUUGGGCUGCUCGUUUCAGCCCUAAAGUUAGCCUUCCUAAAACAAAACUGUCUCUUCCAGGGUCUUCUAAGUCAGAGACAUCAAAACCUGGACCUUCUGGAUUACAGGCCAAAUUAGCAAGUUUAAGAAAAUCUACGAAGAAACGCAGUGAGUCUCCACCUGCUGAGCUCCCCAGUUUGAGGCGGAGCACACGCCAAAAGACCACGGGCUCCUGUGCUAGUACCAGUCGGCGAGGCUCUGGCCUGGGCAAAAGAGGAGCAGCUGAAGCUCGUCGACAGGAGAAAAUGGCAGACCCUGAAAGCAACCAGGAGGCAGUAAAUUCUUCAGCUGCUCGGACAGAUGAAGCUCCCCAAGGAGCUGCAGCCUCUAGUUCUGUUGCAGGGGCUGUUGGCAUGACCACCUCUGGGGAGAGUGAAUCAGAUGAUUCUGAGAUGGGACGUUUGCAAGCUUUGUUAGAGGCAAGGGGUCUUCCCCCUCACCUAUUUGGUCCUCUUGGUCCUCGGAUGUCACAGCUUUUCCAUAGAACAAUUGGAAGUGGAGCUAGUUCUAAGGCCCAGCAGCUACUACAAGGAUUGCAAGCCAGUGAUGAAAGUCAACAGCUUCAGGCAGUUAUUGAGAUGUGUCAGUUACUGGUCAUGGGAAAUGAGGAGACACUGGGAGGGUUUCCUGUCAAGAGUGUUGUUCCAGCUUUGAUUACGUUACUUCAGAUGGAGCACAAUUUUGAUAUUGUAAGUAUGUAUUGUAUUUUUUUAAAUGGUGUAUAUUUAAGUUUUGAGUUUUUACUCAUUAAAAUCUCUUCUUUUCUAGAUGAACCAUGCUUGUCGAGCCUUAACAUACAUGAUGGAAGCACUUCCUCGAUCUUCUGCUGUUGUAGUAGAUGCUAUUCCUGUCUUUUUAGAAAAGCUGCAAGUUAUUCAGUGUAUUGAUGUGGCAGAACAGGCGUUGACUGCCUUGGAGAUGUUGUCACGGAGACACAGUAAAGCCAUUCUACAGGCGGGUGGUUUGGCAGACUGCUUGCUGUACCUAGAAUUCUUCAGCAUAAAUGCCCAAAGAAAUGCAUUAGCAAUUGCAGCCAAUUGCUGCCAGAGUAUCACGCCAGAUGAAUUUCAUUUUGUGGCAGAUUCCCUCCCAUUGCUAACCCAAAGGCUAACACAUCAGGAUAAAAAGUCAGUAGAAAGCACUUGCCUUUGUUUUGCACGCCUAGUGGACAACUUCCAGCAUGAGGAGAAUUUACUCCAGCAGGUUGCUUCCAAAGAUCUGCUUACAAAUGUUCAACAGCUGUUGGUAGUGACUCCACCCAUUUUAAGUUCUGGGAUGUUUAUAAUGGUGGUUCGCAUGUUUUCUCUGAUGUGUUCCAACUGUCCAACUUUAGCUGUUCAACUUAUGAAACAAAACAUUGCAGAAACACUUCACUUUCUCCUGUGUGGUGCCUCCAAUGGAAGUUGUCAGGAACAGAUUGAUCUUGUUCCACGAAGCCCUCAAGAACUGUAUGAACUGACAUCUCUGAUUUGUGAACUUAUGCCAUGUUUACCAAAAGAAGGCAUUUUUGCAGUUGAUACCAUGUUGAAGAAGGGAAAUGCACAGAACACAGAUGGUGCGAUAUGGCAGUGGCGUGAUGAUCGGGGCCUCUGGCAUCCAUAUAACAGGAUUGACAGCCGGAUCAUUGAGGUAGUAGUUUCAUCGUACCGUUUAAAUAUGUCUAUUUUGUUGGAGAGUGGGUGUAGGGAUGGAGUGGGGAGGUGGAUAUGUGGACUUGAAUGUGCUUGAUUUUGAAUUAACUCAAGAUUCUCUCAUUUUGUCUCCUGAGAACAAGGUCCUCAUUUCUGUUCAGGUCAGAAAACUUCAUGUUCUAGUCCUGCUUCUGCUGCUAACUACCUGAUUGACUUGGAGCAAGUAAUUUAAGUUUGUUGUUCCAUAGUUUCCUCAUUUCUGAAAGGAAACGUUGGAAGACUUAGGCUGUAGGUUUCUAAAAUUUAUCUAUCUUCUAUCAGAAAGCAAUGUCCCAUGAGCAAAGAUUUACAUACAAAUAGUUUCCUCUCAAUAUUUUUUAAGAGCAA
rnacentral:sRNA from 1 species